rnacentral:lncRNA from 1 species
AUCGCAUUAGGCAGGUGCUGAAAGAUGAGGACUGACGCUGCUUAUUCAGCUAGCUAUGCGGGUAUUAGACCGAGAUGCAGCUGAGACAUUUGUGUUGCCUUUCUCUUCCUUCUCACUGUGACCAGAGUCCUGGCGGUGCCUGGAGGAUGUGCACACGCAGCCCUGCCUUGGUCCUGCACAAUGUGCUGGGGAUUUUUGUGUCAGAAGCCUACUGCACACGGGGCAAGAAAAGCACAUUGAAACGUGCCAUCAAAGGUAACAGCCCCGCAACACCAGGGAAGGAGCAGCCACAACGGGGAGGCGAGAGCCGGAGCCUCCUCCUGGAGGAGCCUCCUCCUGGAGGAGCGCGUCUGCAGAGGGAAGGGCGAAAAUGCAAAUCUGAAAUCAAUCCAUCUCCCUCUGCCUCGCACGCUUUGGCCAUCUAUAACAGUUUAAAGUGAAGUCAGUGGCUGAGGACAAGAAGGGAAGCUUGUAAAUCCAUUUACUACUUUCUGCACUGAAGGAGAAGCAGCGAAUUUAUAGUGGAAACGCAGGGAGGGCACGGAUGAGGUGUUCCACAUCAGCGGUAGAGGAUGGCUCAAAAAUAUCGGAGCAAACCUUUGAACAAACAGAAAGCCUCGGGAUGCGGAGGCAUCGAGCAGCUUUGUGGGCCCUUCCUCCCUCCCUGCCUUGGCUCCGAGGGUUUUUUUAGAGGCACAGAGGUGUCUGCACCACGGCUCCCCGGGGUUCCCCCUUUGCCUGUGGUCCCGUUGUGCUGACCUUGUGCCAAACGGGCACUUUCCUGGUGGAAAGAAGAGGGCGAGCAUGCCUCUGUCCUUCCUGCCCGGGGCUGGAGAAGUGGAUCUAAACAUGCCCAAGCCUGAUUUGUGGAUCCUUUUUUGUGGAUCCUAUUUAGGAUCCUUUUUGCAGCAUUCUGCUUGAAAGGACCACUUCCAGGGCGGGAUGCUAUUUAAAAGCUCUUUGGCGUGAAGAGUAAGUUUGUUAUAUUUCCUUUAUUUACCAGGUUUUGUAAAAGCAGUAAAUCAUGGAACAGAUUGCCCUGUAACUGUCCCCAGGUGUAAGGAGGACACAGCAACAAGCCCCGAGGGGCGACGCGAUUAAUCCCGCUCCGGAGGAAAGGCUGCCAUUAGUCAUCCGCAGCUCCGGCACCGGUGACUUUCAAGGUGUACAAAUCUCUCGUUAGAUACAUCCCAUGUUCUGCAGAUGGCCAUUUUGUCUUCUCGCUGCAUGCACUGGAACAUGCCCAAGUGUACAAAAAUGAGAGGAGAGAUUGUUAGGGCUGAAUUUUUUUUUUGUUCGUUUUCAAUGGGAUUUUUUCCCCUUUGCAUGGCGCACAUCCUGGGCUUUGAUAAAUGAGUCUCACCAGACACUGUGGUAAGCCAACCUCUGCUAAUAUUCAUUAUGCAGAACCCACCAGGAAAUGGUCUGAGUCAGGGAAAU